rnacentral:rRNA from 1 species
GAUGAACGCUAGCUACAGGCUUAACACAUGCAAGUCGAGGGGCAGCAUGAUUGAAGCUUGCUUCAAUCGAUGGCGACCGGCGCACGGGUGAGUAACACGUAUCCAACCUGCCGAUAACUCGGGGAUAGCCUUUCGAAAGAAAGAUUAAUACCCGAUAGUAUAGUAUUUCCGCAUGGUUUCACUAUUAAAGAACUUCGGUUAUCGAUGGGGAUGCGUUCCAAUAGAUAGUUGGCGGGGUAACGGCCCACCAAGUCAACGAUGGAUAGGGGUUCUGAGAGGAAGGUCCCCCACAUUGGAACUGAGACACGGUCCAAACUCCUACGGGAGGCAGCAGUGAGGAAUAUUGGUCAAUGGACGAGAGUCUGAACCAGCCAAGUAGCGUGAAGGAUGACUGCCCUAUGGGUUGUAAACUUCUUUUAUACGGGAAUAAAGUGGAGUAGGCAUACUCCUUUGUAUGUACCGUAUGAAUAAGGAUCGGCUAACUCCGUG